rnacentral:rRNA from 1 species
UGAGUAACGCGUGGGAACAUACCCUUUCCUGCGGAAUAGCUCCGGGAAACUGGAAUUAAUACCGCAUACGCCCUACGGGGGAAAGAUUUAUCGGGGAAGGAUUGGCCCGCGUUGGAUUAGCUAGUUGGUGGGGUAAAGGCCUACCAAGGCGACGAUCCAUAGCUGGUCUGAGAGGAUGAUCAGCCACAUUGGGACUGAGACACGGCCCAAACUCCUACGGGAGGCAGCAGUGGGGAAUAUUGGACAAUGGGCGCAAGCCUGAUCCAGCCAUGCCGCGUGAGUGAUGAAGGCCUUAGGGUUGUAAAGCUCUUUCACCGGAGAAGAUAAUGACGGUAUCCGGAGAAGAAGCCCCGGCUAACUUCGUGCCAGCAGCCGCGGUAAUACGAAGGGGGCUAGCGUUGUUCGGAAUUACUGGGCGUAAAGCGCACGUAGGCGGAUAUUUAAGUCAGGGGUGAAAUCCCAGAGCUCAACUCUGGAACUGCCUUUGAUACUGGGUAUCUUGAGUAUGGAAGAGGUAAGUGGAAUUCCGAGUGUAGAGGUGAAAUUCGUAGAUAUUCGGAGGAACACCAGUGGCGAAGGCGGCUUACUGGUCCAUUACUGACGCUGAGGUGCGAAAGCGUGGGGAGCAAACAGGAUUAGAU